GGGGGGGCACAUGCAGGAGGAAGGAUCCAUCUUCAGGGCUUGAUGAAGACUCUAGCAGUUGCGUUCAAUAAAAGGAUUGAGCAUGGUAA